AAAUUGAAGAGUUUGAUCAUGGCUCAGAUUGAACGCUGGCGGCAGGCCUAACACAUGCAAGUCGAACGGUAACAGGAAGAAGCUUGCUUCUUUGCUGACGAGUGGCGGACGGGUGAGUAAUGUCUGGGAAACUGCCUGAUGGAGAGGGAUAACUACUGGAAACGGUA
rnacentral:rRNA from 1 species